ensembl:lncRNA
CAGGUGCACCGUCCAGGGUGAAAUUGUGAGGUUUCCAGUUCAGAUGUGAUAAGGAGAAAAAGAGCUGGAUUUUCUUAUGGCAGCAGGUACAGCCUGUGACAUCUGAAGCAGUCAUAGCCACUCUCCACAGGAAUCCCCAUUCUGCCACUCAAGCUGUGUGACCUCAGGGGAAACCUCUCUACACCUCAGUUUUGCCGUCUAUAAAAUGGUGGGCAUUGAACAUAUACUGGUGGGCUGCCGUCUACGGGACACGACUGAAGCGACUCAGCAGCAGCAGCACAUCCAGCAAACAGAUUCAUAGAUAAUAUCCAUAAGAUCUGGAAACUAAAGAGCAAAUUGAGAACAGCACUUGGUAGAGUG